rnacentral:tRNA from 1 species
UCGUGCUGGUUGAUAUCGCCGACAACCCUUGGACUGGCGGUCCGGGCGACAGCGUAGAGCUCCUGCGCUUCUUGCUCCGGCAAGAGGCACGACC